GACGAACGCUGGCGGCGUGCUUAACACAUGCAAGUCGUACGGUAAGGCCCUUUCGGGGGUACACGAGUGGCGAACGGGUGAGUAACACGUGAGUAACCUUCCCACAACUUUGGGAUAACGCUAGGAAACUGGUGCUAAUACUGGAUAUGUGCUCCUGCUGCAUGGUGGGGGUUGGAAAGCUCCGGCGGUUGUGGAUGGACUCGCGGCCUAUCGGCUUGUUGGUGGGGUAGUGGCCUACCAAGGCGGCGACGGGUAGCCGGACUGAGAGGGUGACCGGCCACAUUGGGACUGAGAGACGGCCCAGACUCCUACGGGAGGCAGCAGGGGGGAAGAUUGCACAAUGGGCGCAAGCCUGAUGCAGCAACGCCGCGUGCGGGAUGACGGCCUUCGGGUUGUAAACCGCUUUCAGCAGGGACGAAGCUUUUUGUGACGGUACCUGCAGAAGAAGCACCGGCUAACUACGUG
rnacentral:rRNA from 1 species